rnacentral:ncRNA from 1 species
UAGCGCAGGCUCUCAGCUUGUUCGAGAAAAGCUGAGAGGACGAGGAGAAGGUUGUCGAGAACUCAGCGGAUGCCUUCCGGCCGGUCCGGUCGAGAGAAACUUCUUAAAGCCCCUCUGCGAGGAGGGGGACAAAGGGAG